rnacentral:rRNA from 1 species
CCCUUAGAUGUUCUGGGCAGCACGCGCGCUACAAUGGUCUUCGCAAACGGAUGCAUUCUCGAAGGAGAAUGCCAAUCUUGGAAUCUAUGCCUUGGUCGGGACAGUUGCUUGCAAUUUUUCGACUCGAACCAGGAAUUCCUUGUAAUCGUGAUUCAUCACAUCACGAUGAAUACGUCCCUGCCCUUUGUACACACCGCCCGUCGCUCCUACCGAUCGAAGAGUUAGGUGAAUUGUUUUGAUCGAUAAGAUUUGACUAUGGUCAACUCUCGUUGUGAACUUCUGUGAAUCUGACUGUUUAGAGGAAGGAAAAGUCGUAACA